UACGAAGGGGGCUAGCGUUGCUCGGAAUUACUGGGCGUAAAGGGAGCGUAGGCGGACAGUUUAGUCAGAGGUGAAAGCCCAGGGCUCAACCCUGGAAUUGCCUUUGAUACUGAUUGUCUUGAGUAUGGGAGAGGUGAGUGGAACUCCGAGUGUAGAGGUGAAAUUCGUAGAUAUUCGGAAGAACACCGGUGGCGAAGGCGGCUCGCUGGGCCAGUUCUGACACUCAUCCGCGAAAGCGUGGGGAGCAAACAGG
rnacentral:rRNA from 1 species